rnacentral:lncRNA from 1 species
CUGAGGCUAUCACUAGAAGCACAGAAACUAUAACAAGAAACUAAACCAUACCAUCACAUUUUGUUCUUCCUUGCAUCUGUGCUGACUUCAAAGGACUGAAAAGUAGGAGGUGCCAGCUAUUGGGCAUCCAGAACUGAGCUGGCUUCAUUGCUGCUGAAGUAACAGUCUAUACACUGGGAAUACAGAUUUUAUGAAAAAAGAAGCAUAAAGGAUGGACAAGCAAGAUAUCUCUGAUCUUAAGGGAAGACAGAAUUUCUUGUGUCUGAAUUUGCACAACUU